rnacentral:rRNA from 1 species
UACGUAGGGUGCGAGCGUUGUCCGGAAUUAUUGGCGUAAAGAGCUUGUAGGCGGUUUGUCGCGUCUGCUGUGAAAUCCGGGCUCAACCCGGACUUGCAGUGGGUACGGCAGACUAGAGUGUGGUAGGGGAGACUGGAAUUCCUGGUGUAGCGGUGAAAUGCGCAGAUAUCAGGAGGAACACCGAUGGCGAAGGCAGGUCUCUGGCCGGAACUGACGCUGAGGAGCGAAAGCGUGGGGAGCGAACAGG